GUACGCACUGGCCCAACUGAUUGAUGGUGCUCUCCUCCAGAUUGACGUUGGAUCACCAGUGAGUGGCGGACGGGUGAGUAACACGUAGGUAACCUGCCCCGGAGCGUUUGAUAACAUUUGGAAACAGAUGCUAAUACCGCAUAACAACAAAAGCCACAUGGCUUUUGUUUGAAAGAUGGCUUUAGCUAUCACUCUGGGAUGGACCUGCGGUGCAUUAGCUAGUUGGUAAGGUAACGGCUUACCAAGGCGAUGAUGCAUAGCCGAGUUGAGAGACUGAUCGGCCACAAUGGAACUGAGACACGGUCCAUACUCCUACGGGAGGCAGCAGUAGGGAAUCUUCCACAAUGGGCGCAAGCCUGAUGGAGCAACACCGCGUGAGUGAAGAAGGGUUUCGGCUCGUAAAGCUCUGUUGUUGGAGAAGAACGUGCGUGAGAGUAACUGUUCACGCAGUGACGGUAUCCAACCCUAAAGUCACGGCUAACUACGUGCCAGCAGCCGCGGUAAUACGUAGGUGGCAAGCGUUAUCCGGAUUUAUUGGGCCGUAAGCGAGCUCCGGCGGUUGCUUAAGUCUGAUGUGAAAGCCUUCCGCCUUAACCGAAGAAGUGCUUCGGCCCCCGGGCCAACUUGAGUGCAGAAAGGGGGACAGGGGAACUCCCAUGUGUAGCGGGGGAAUGGGUAGAUAUAUGGAAGAACACCCGUGGCGAAGGCGGCUGUCUGGUCUGCAACUGACGCUGAGGCUCGAAAGCAUGGGUAGCGAACAGGAUUAGAUACCCUGGUAGUCCAUGCCGUAAACGAUGAGUGCUAGGUGUUGGAGGGUUUCCGCCCUUCAGUGCCGGAGCUAACGCAUUAAGCACUCCGCCUGGGGAGUACGACCGCAAGGUUGAAACUCAAAGGAAUUGACGGGGGCCCGCACAAGCGGUGGAGCAUGUGGUUUAAUUCGAAGCUACGCGAAGAACCUUACCAGGUCUUGACAUCUUGCGCUAACCUUAGAGAUAAGGCGUUCCCUUCGGGGACGCAAUGACAGGUGGUGCAUGGUCGUCGUCAGCUCGUGUCGUGAGAUGUUGGGUUAAGUCCCGCAACGAGCGCAACCCUUGUUACUAGUUGCCAGCAUUAAGUUGGGCACUCUAGUGAGACUGCCGGUGACAAACCGGAGGAAGGUGGGGACGACGUCAGAUCAUCAUGCCCCUUAUGACCUGGGCUACACACGUGCUACAAUGGACGGUACAACGAGUCGCAAGCUCGCGAGAGUAAGCUAAUCUCUUAAAGCCGUUCUCAGUUCGGACUGUAGGCUGCAACUCGCCUACACGAAGUCGGAAUCGCUAGUAA
rnacentral:rRNA from 1 species